rnacentral:rRNA from 1 species
UACGGAGGGUGCGAGCGUUGUCCGGAAUCAUUGGGCGUAAAGGGCGCGUAGGUGGCCCGGUCAGUUCGUGGUGAAAGCGCGGGGCUCAACCCUGCGUCGGCCAUGAAUACUGCCGCGGCUGGAGCACUGUAGAGGCAGGCGGAAUUCCGGGUGUAGCGGUGGAAUGCGUAGAGAUCCGGAAGACACCGGUGGCGAAGGCAGCUCGCUGGAACGUAACUGACGCUGAGACGCGAAAGCGUGGGGAGCGAACAGGA